rnacentral:rRNA from 1 species
UACGGCGGGUGCAAGCGUUAUCCGGAUUCACUGGGUUUAAAGGGCGCGUAGGUGGGGCUGUAAGUCAGUAGUGAAAUCUCCGGGCUUAACUCGGAAACUGCCGUUGAUACUAUAGAUCUUGAAUAUCGCGUAGGUAAGCGGAAUAUGUCAUGUAGCGGUGAAAUGCUUAGAUAUGACAUAGAACAACAAUUGCGAAGGCAGCUUACGUCACGAUCAUUGACACUGAGGCACGAAAGCGUGGGGAGCAAACAGG